AGCAACCUGCCUUUCAGUGGGGGACAACAGUUGGAAACGACUGCUAAUACCGCAUAAUGCAUUUUGACCGCAUGGUCGAGAUGCCAAAGAUUUAUUGCUGAAAGAUGGGCUCGCGUCUGAUUAGAUAGUUGGUGAGGUAACGGCCCACCAAGUCGACGAUCAGUAGCCGGACUGAGAGGUUGAACGGCCACAUUGGGACUGAGAUACGGCCCAG
rnacentral:rRNA from 1 species